UGGGGAAUUUUGGACAAUGGGGGAAACCCUGAUCCAGCCAUGCCGCGUGCGGGAAGAAGGCCUUCGGGUUGUAAACCGCUUUUGGUCGGAAAGAAAAGGCGCACCCUAAUACGGGGCGCUCUUGACGGUACCGGCAGAAUAAGCACCGGCUAACUACGUGCCAGCAGCCGCGGUAAUACGUAGGGUGCGAGCGUUAAUCGGAAUUACUGGGCGUAAAGCGUGCGCAGGCGGUUCUCCAAGUCCGUUGUGAAAGCCCCGGGCUCAACCUGGGAAUGGCAGUGGAAACUAGGGGACUUGAAUCUGGCAGAGGGGGGUGGAAUUCCACGUGUAGCAGUGAAAUGCGUAGAGAUGUGGAGGAACACCGAUGGCGAAGGCAGCCCCCUGGGCUGAGAUUGACGCUCAGGCACGAAAGCGUGGGGAGCAAACAG
rnacentral:rRNA from 1 species